UUGGAGGGCAUGUCUGGUGCCAGCAGCCGCGGUAAUUCCAGCUCCAAUAGCGUAUAUUAAAGUUGUUGCAGUUAAAAAGCUCGUAGUUGAACUUCGGGGUCUACCCAUUGGUCAGGCUUAAUUGUCUGCACUGGUGAGAUGGAUCUCUACCUUCUGAGGAACUUUCAUGCCAUUUAUUUGGUGUGGUUGGAAAUCAGGACUGUUACUUUGAAAAAAUUAGAGUGUUUAAAGCAGACUAUCGUCUGAAUACAUUAGCAUGGAAUAAUGAAAUAGGACGGACUGAUUCUAUUUCGUUGGUUUCUAGGAUCACCGUAAUGAUUAAUAGGGAUAGUUGGGGGCAUUAGUAUUCAAUUGUCAGAGGUGAAAUUCUUGGAUUUAUUGAAGACUAACUACUGCGAAAGCAUUUGCCAAGGAUGUUUUCAUUAAUCAAGAACGAAAGUUAGGGGAUCGAAGACGAUCAGAUACCGUCGUAGUCUUAACCAUAAACUAUGCCGACUAGGGAUCGGAUGAUGUUAAUUUUAUAAUGACGCGUUCGGCGCCUUACGGGAAAC
rnacentral:rRNA from 1 species